rnacentral:rRNA from 1 species
GAUGAACGCUGGCGGCGUGCCUAAUACAUGCAAGUCGAGCGAACAGACGAGGCGCUUGCUCCUCUGACGUUAGCGGCGGACGGGUGAGUAACACGUGGAUAACCUACCUAUCAGACUGGGAUAACUUCGGGAAACCGGCGCUAAUACCGGAUAAUAUAUUGAACCGCAUGGUUCAUUAGUGAAAGACGGUUUUGCUGUCACUUAUAGAUGGAUCCGCGCCGCAUUAGCUAGUUGGUAAGGUAACGGCUUACCAAGGCAACGAUGCGUAGACGACCUGAGAGGGUGAUCGGCCACACUGGAACUGAGACACGGUCAAGACUCCUACGGGAGGCAGCAGUAGGGAAUCUUACGCAGUGGGCGAAAGCAUGACGGAGCAACGCCGCGUGAGUGAUGAAGGUCUUCGGAUCGUAAAACUCUGUUAUUAGGGAAGAACAAAUGUGUAAGUAACUAUGCACGUAUUGACGGUACCGAAUCAGAAAGCCACGGCUAACUACGUG